rnacentral:rRNA from 1 species
GCGGGUGCUAUACAUGCAAGUCGAGCGGACAGAAGGGAGCUUGCUCCCGGAUGUUAGCGGCGGACGGGUGAGUAACACGUGGGUAACCUGCCUGUAAGACUGGGAUAACUCCGGGAAACCGGAGCUAAUACCGGAUAGUUCCUUGAACCGCAUGGUUCAAGGAUGAAAGACGGUUUCGGCUGUCACUUACAGAUGGACCCGCGGCGCAUUAGCUAGUUGGUGAGGUAACGGCUCACCAAGGCGACGAUGCGUAGCCGACCUGAGAGGGUGAUCGGCCACACUGGGACUGAGACACGGCCCAGACUCCUACGGGAGGCAGCAGUAGGGAAUCUUCCGCAAUGGACGAAAGUCUGACGGAGCAACGCCGCGUGAGUGAUGAAGGUUUUCGGAUCGUAAAGCUCUGUUGUUAGGGAAGAACAAGUGCAAGAGUAACUGCUUGCACCUUGACGGUACCUAACCAGAAAGCCACGGCUAACUACGUGCCAGCAGCCGCGGUAAUACGUAGGUGGCAAGCGUUGUCCGGAAUUAUUGGGCGUAAAGGGCUCGCAGGCGGUUUCUUAAGUCUGAUGUGAAAGCCCCCGGCUCAACCGGGGAGGGUCAUUGGAAACUGGGAAACUUGAGUGCAGAAGAGGAGAGUGGAAUUCCACGUGUAGCGGUGAAAUGCGUAGAGAUGUGGAGGAACACCAGUGGCGAAGGCGACUCUCUGGUCUGUAACUGACGCUGAGGAGCGAAAGCGUGGGGAGCGAACAGGAUUAGAUAC